GGCGGUUAUCAAGAGGCUCAUGACCGACGCGCCCUUCGGAGUCCUCCUCUCCGGCGGCCUCGACUCCUCUCUCGUCGCCUCAGUGACCAAGCGCCACCUCGUCGAGACCGAGGCUGCCAAAAAGUUCGGCACCGAGCUCCACUCCUUCGUCGUCGGCCUCGAGGUUUUGCUUCACCUCACCCUGCUGCAACGCGUGUCCUUUUGUCGCGAAUCGUGGAGCGCUGACGUUUUUUGGUUCUUGCCGGCACGUUCCAGGGAUCCCCGGACCUGAAGGCCGCCAGGGAGGUCGCUGACUACCUCGGAACCAUCCACCACGAGUUCUAUUUCACCGUACAGGUAAAUCACAUGGGCAAUGACCGGCCUGAUCAGAUGGACAAAACGUAACAGGAAGAAAAAAAAAACUAAUUCACGCGAUUCCAGACGUGUAAAUCUAAACCCCCUGAAACGUGACACGGAAACCUGAAGUCGUAACGCUUUUGGCCGUGAACUUGGACACGACGCUGACGAGUGGCAAAUCGCCAAUUGUCACCCAGGACGGAAUCGACGCGAUCGAGGAGGUGAUCUACCACGACGAGACCUACGACGUGACGACGAUCCGGGCGAGCACGCCCAUGUUCCUGAUGGCACGCAAGAUCAAGUCGCUGGGCGUCAAGAUGGUGCUGUCCGGGGAAGGCUCCGACGAGCUCCUGGGCGGAUACCUCUACUUCCACUUCGCGCCCAACAAGGAGGAGUUCCACAAGGAGACCUGCCGCAAGGUAAUAUACACGGUGCAGCACCGACCAUCACUCGGGACUCGUCGAUCUCGUUUGGAUUCUGAGGAAAAAGCGGCUCUGAUCCUGACGCGAGGAAUACGCAGGUGAAGGCACUCCACCAGUACGACUGCUUGCGUGCCAACAAGGCGACCUCGGCAUGGGGCCUGGAGAUCCGCGUGCCGUUCCUCGACAAGGAGUUCGUCGACGUCGCCAUGGGCAUGGACCCUGAGUGGAAA
rnacentral:lncRNA from 1 species